UACGUAGGGUGCGAGCGUUGUCCGGAAUUACUGGGCUUAAAGAGCUCGUAGGUGGUUUGUCGCGUUGUCCGUGAAAACUCACAACUCAAUUGUGGGCGUGCGGGCGAUACGGGCAGACUGGAGUACUGCAGGGGAGACUGGAAUUCCUGGUGUAGCGGUGGAAUGCGCAGAUAUCAGGAGGAACACCGGUGGCGAAGGCGGGUCUCUGGGCAGUAACUGACGCUGAGACGCGAAAGCGUGGGGAGCAAACAGG
rnacentral:rRNA from 1 species